GUCGGAGGCUCAACCAACUGAGCCAUCCAGGCGCCCCAGAGUGAAAGGACACAAAGCAAAAUCAGCAAAGAGAAAAGACUCAUGGGCCAAGUCCAGAGGAAACCAGACACAAGCUGCUAUGAAUCCUCUCCCAGUGGAGUCACACAGGAUGUGCUUACUUCUCCUGGCAGUGAAUUGUGACAACAUGCAUUAAACAUCUACUGGGACACUCAUUACAGAA